UAUAACAACAUUGAAAAGAAGGAGAACACAAACGGUGUUGAAAGAGCACGCGCAUCACAGGCAACGAGUUGAAGCAACAAAUGUUUACCUUGAGGUCGCAGCGGGGCUUCUCAAUCGGCGGGCAUUGUAGCAUCGGCGUCAGUGAACUGAAUACAAAAAAACAAAAAAUUUGUUUGCUUAUUAAGAGGUUAUAUACCUUGUGGUGGACUAAAAACUCGAAAUUUUUUUAUGGCAUAUUCUAAAAGUACAUCAUCUUAAAAAUAUAAAUUAAAAAAAAUCAUAAAUAUCGGAGCACUAGAACGAAAGUUACAGACCGUAAGACAAAGCGCGCAAAUUAUCCAUAAGUGAAGUGCACGCAAAACUUUAGACGCGAUUAUCUCGAAGUCGUGCUUCUUGAAAAUUACCGUCACGGUGAUCAUUAUUUAUCAAAAACUAUUAGACCGAUUUGCAUAAACUUUUUUUUUAAUUAUUCGAAGUUACAACCUCGUGAAUCUGAACGGUUCACUUUUUAUAAAUAUUUGCAUAGUUCGCUGGAAUUAAUUUGUUUUUUAAUUUUUCAACCUCUCAAAAAUAGUUUUUUUGGUGCAAAGCGGUUUUCAUAUGGAAAAACAUUUUUUGGUUGAGCUGCUCAUGCGCUACCGUGAUCACCUAAAAAACGGCGUUUCAGGGGAGAGGCGAUAUCAACAAUAACUAAUAACAUUUUUUAAAAUAAAAAAACCACAAUGUAUUCUUCGAGAGUUACCCUUCAGUAUGAUAUAUACAUAUGCCUCAUUUGAAGAAAAGUUCUAAAACAUAUUUAAAAAAAAUUAUGACAAUCGUCCAUUUUUUCGGGCUCACAGGGUAUAUAAUCCCUUAAUGUCAUAAUUUCUAUAUGAAUUAAACAAAAAUGGAAAAAAACAAA